rnacentral:rRNA from 1 species
AUACGUAGGGAGCGAGCGUUGUCCGGAAUUACUGGGUGUAAAGGGAGCGUAGGCGGGAGUGCAAGUCAGAUGUGAAAUACAUGGGCUCAACCCAUGGGCUGCAUUUGAAACUGCAUUUCUUGAGUGAAGUAGAGGUAAGCGGAAUUCCUGGUGUAGCGGUGAAAUGCGUAGAUAUCAGGAGGAACACCGGUGGCGAAGGCGGCUUACUGGGCUUUUACUGACGCUGAGGCUCGAAAGCGUGGGGAGCAAACAGGAUUAGAUACCCUGGUAGUCCACGCUGUAAACGAUGAUUACUAGGUGUGGGGGGACUGACCCCUUCCGUGCCGCAGUUAACACAAUAAGUAACCCACCUGGGGAGUACGGCCGCAAGGUUGAAACUCAAAUGAAUUGGCGGGG